UCCCGUUUAGCUCAGCUGGUAGAGCGCGUCACUAGUACGUAUAUAUACGUGUAAUGACGAGGUCAGUCGUUCAAGUCGGCUAAUGGGAA